UACGUAGGGUGCAAGCGUUGUCCGGAAUUAUUGGGCGUAAAGAGCUCGUAGGCGGUUUGUCGCGUCUGCUGUGAAAUCUGGGGGGCUCAACCCCCCAGCCUGCAGUGGGUACGGGCAGACUAGAGUGCGGUAGGGGAGAUUGGAAUUCCUGGUGUAGCGGUGGAAUGCGCAGAUAUCAGGAGGAACACCGAUGGCGAAGGCAGAUCUCUGGGCCGUAACUGACGCUGAGGAGCGAAAGCAUGGGGAGCGAACAGG
rnacentral:rRNA from 1 species